rnacentral:lncRNA from 1 species
GGGUACACCUGACGAGGCCUGGGGAUGCUUUAGGUUGUCAGAGUUGGCAGAGGCGGUGGUCCCGGCAUCUAGUGGAUGGAGCUCAGGAGGCUGCUAUACAGCCUGCAGCGCCCAUGGCAGGUCCUCCUGGUGCUGAGAUUGAGAAAUUCUGCUUGAGAGGCUCUAAUGCAGACUUGAGAAUAAUUUCCUCACCACCAGUCUUUUAGCUUUGGGGUGUGUGUGUGUGUGUGACAUUUUUUUUGUUUUUUUCUUUCUAGGGCUGUACCUGCAGCAUGUGGAAGUUCCCAGGCCAGUGGCUGAAUCAGAGUUGUGGUUGCCUGCCUACGUCACAGCCACAGCAACACCAGGAUCUGAGCCACAUCUGUGACCUAUGCUGCAGCGUGCGGCAAUGCAGAUCCUUAACCCACUGAGUGAGGCCAAGGAUUGAACCCGUAUCCUCACAUACAAGGUGUCAGGUUCCUAACCCGCUAAACCACAAGGGGAACUCCUCUAGGGCAUUCUCGUGUGAAUUUAUGUGUGAAAUCUAUCAUCUUUAGUCCCUGCUAAGGAAGACCUUUGGACACUCGUCUCCUUCAUUUAUCUGCGGCCAUCAGUCCGCUGGGUAAGCAGUGGCCUCUCCUUUGUGUAGCUGGGGCUGCUGAGACCCCCAGGGCUGCUGUAAUUCCACGGGGUUGGUCCUUGGGCUGCCCCUUCCCAGGGGGAAUCACUAGCUCCAUCUCACUACCCCUCUGUCUUGCUCUGCCAAGAGAUCCCACUCCUGCCUCAUCCUCUGUGGCUGGUGUUAGAAUCCACUUGCAAUCUGGUCAAUCCAGCUUUACCAGAAAAUACUUUCUUCUGUUGAGGAAGGGCUCAGAAGAAACCUCCCGAUCUGAAAAAUUCCACCAACACAGGAGGUGUCUAAGGUCUACGCGCUAAGCAAUGCAUAUUCCAGAAGCUGCACAGCAGAGUCAAAACCCAGGAGCCUGGGGUUAGGGCUCACCAUUCACCACCAACUUGCUGUGUGGCCUUUGGCAAGUUACUUCCCUUCUCUGUUCUUCAUUUGACCCUCUGGGUAAUAUGUGGCUGGUUGAAGAGAGCUGUCAGAUUCUUUCCUGGCCUGACCUUGAAAACUCUGAAGUUGGCAGAAGUUUCUCCCUGACAAGGACCCACAGAUUGGCCAGAAGCAGCGCAUCCCCUGAGCCGCAUCCUGCUGUCAAGUUUUCCCCCUAAAUGCUAAGAGGAAUGCGUAAGCUAAUCCUUCUGCAGAAUCCUCCUCCCACACUGACGGAUGUCAAUGCUGGCAUUUAUUAGAGUGCCAGUAAAUCUUGAAAACAAUAAAUAUCUCAUUACUUUGCUGAUGAUGUGUCUUUAAGUGCUACUUCAAAAGGCCUGUCUUUGCUGCACAUGAUUUAUAACGAGAACUUGUUUUAAUCUCAGAAUCUUUCAUCUUUUGCAAGCACCUCGUUGGACCCUAAUCAGAUUUCUGUAAAUCCCUGAGAGCAACUGGCAAGCAGGCCAGAGUGAAAAUUCCCGGGAUGGUGUGUUUCCAAACCGUGGUGGAUUUGGCAUCUGAUUUCCUGACCCCUGCUGUCAGUUAAAAUGAUACUGACUAUAUUUAUUUAUUUUUUAAAACAUUAAAAAUAUGGUUUUUUUUUUUCUUUUAAGGGCCACACCUGCGGCAUACAGAAGUUCCCAGGCUAGGGGUCGAAUUGGAGCUGCAGCUGCUGGCCUAUACCACAGCUAGAGCAACACCAGAUCCGAGCUGCAUCAGCAACUUACACUGCAGCUCACAGCAACGCCGGAUCCUUAACCCACUGAGCAAGGCCAGGGAUCAAACCUGAGUCCUCACGGAUACUCUUUGGGUUUAUUACUGCUGAGCCACAGCAGAAACUCUGAAAUGAUACCAAAUUUAAUGUCACACAGACCUGGAUUAAUCUCCGUAGACGAAUCUGUCCCAGGCUGGCUGGGUCAUCUUGGACAAGCUCACUUAACCUCUCUGAGCCUUAGUCUCCUCACCUGUAAAAUAGGGGAUCACAGGUUCUUUGCAGAGUUAAGGUGAAGAGGAAAUGUGUUGGCGCUGGUACAACAUCUGUCUCAAUGACUGGGAUGGUAGAUGCUCAGAAAACGGUGAACUCUUAAAAUGCUUAUUACUCCAAAGAAAGAAUUGAGAGCUUCUACUCAGAAAGCCCUAGAGGCCAAUGUCAGGGGCUGUAAAUCAACUCCUCUUCUGUUUUAAUACUGAAUUAACAACCAGGCAGGGGGAAAAAUGGAACAUUUAAAUAUUUAAACCAAACAUUUAAUUUUUAAACAUGAACAUUCUUUUUAUAACUUGGACUGCUCUUCAAGGCCCGUGGUAAAUUCCCACAAGCCCCGGCUCCCUGCCCUCCUUUGUGGCGUGGGCUCAAGACCACGGCUAACCUUGGGUGCCUCUGAACUUGGCAGGAGAGAACACAUUUGUUUUAUUCAGAAGAAGGCACAUUGGUGUCCUCAUAAAGAUAUUUCUGACAAGUUUCUGCAAAGAAAGAGGAGGAAAUCCCUCUAUAAGAAAAGUGAAGCCAAAUCCAAAAGAAAGGAAAUGAUUUCAGGCGAUUCUUGAUUCCUGUUCUCGGCCAGACACCGUUCUAGGCUUUUCAUGUUAUUGCUUUCAAAUUGCACAAAAAGCCCGGCAAGGAUCUCAUUGUAAUCAUCUUUUUGUCCACAGGAAACUGAGGUUCAGGGAGGCUCAUUAAGCAACCCAGCGACGUGCUUUUUGGAGAGCGGGCAUUUAGGCAUCGCCUGUCUUUGUCUCCAUCCUCUUCUUCCAGCAGGGACCUCUGAUUUUUGCUCGGAGAUCCACUGUUUCCCCCCGCUCCUUGUUGCUGUUGUUCGUGGAACUAAAUCCAUCUGCAGCUUGUGUGUUUUUCGGGUCUCAGGCAAGGGCUCCUGGAGGCUGUUCAAUUUCUUGGCCAUCUUACCAUCCAGAAGGGCGAGCCUGCUGAGGAUGAAGCUGAUAGAAGCCGGAAGAAUCUAGCAGCUGGAUCUCCACCGUCAUCACUUCCCUUUAAGACAAGAGUUUCUCUCCGUUCUGUGUCUUCCGAUUUAUUCGAGUAUUACUUUCACUUUUCUUUUUUUUGUCUGCCCCGAGGCAUAUGGAGUUCCCGGGCCAGCAGUCCGAUCCAAGCCACGGUUCCCUGUAACCGUGGCAACGCCGGAUCCUUAACACACUGUGCAGGGCGGGGGAUCGAACUUGCGUCUCACACUCCAGAGGCAUUGCCGAUCCCGCUACACCACAGCCGGAGCGCCUCCUUCCACCUUAGUGAAUGUGACAAACCACAGCAAAGGCAACCACAUAAUCCUCUCGUCUGGCUCUCACCUUUGGAUGAACAUGCACUUGACUCUGAGGAUGUGACUUCUCUUCCUCCCAUGACCUUUUGCACCUAGUUGUAGGCUGUCCCACAGGUGCAGUCUUAGACUGCAGAAAGCUGCUUUCUGUCAAGAGCGUGGUUCUUGAAAUGGCUCACACUCCCUUUGCUGUUGUAUAUCUGAAUUUACCACUGAAAAGCUUUGAUCUCUGCCUUGAAGAAGGAGUUUUUAGCAUCUCUCUGUAGCCUUUAUCUAUCACAUUGAACCUUGGUUUUCUUUUUAUUUUUCUCUGUUUUUUUCUUUUUUUGUUGUUUAUUUGUUUGUUUUGCUUUUUUUUUUUAGGGCCACAGCUUUGGCAUCUGGAAGUUCCCAGGCUAGGGGUCGAAUCAGAGCUGCAGCUGCCUGCCUACACCACAGCCAUAGCAAUGCAGGACCCAAGCCUCGCCUGCAACCUAUACCACAGCUCAUGGCAAUGCUGGAUCCUUCACCCACUGAGCGAGGCCAGGGAUCGAACCCGCAUCCUCAUGGACACUAGUCGGAUUCGUUUCCUCUGAGCCACAACAGGAACUCCUGGGCCUUGGUUUUCUGCUUGGCUUUUCUCCCCGACUGCACCCCGAGUGUCUCCAGGUCAGAGCCAAUGUUGGUCUUAGAGAUGCUGCAGAGGGCUGAGCAGCGGGCUUAGUCACUUGGGAUUUUGAGGCAAGGGACCUGGAUCUCUGUCCCAGGUCUCUUGCUUUUGCGCUGUCUGGCCUUGGGCAAAUCACUCUCUUGGGAACUCUUCAUUCCCAGCUGUAAAACGAGGCACUCCAGGAGAAGGCAAGAGCCGUCCCCGUGGUUCACGUUUCCUCACUCCUACCCUUCGACAGGAGACUUCAAAACCUCUUCCUUCAAAGCUGGUCUGUUUCUCCGCCCCUUGAGUGGGGACAGCUCUUUUGAUCUGCUUUUGUGCGUAGAGGACAGAGAAAGGGCCAGGGUGUCCAUUUGGAGCUCAAAGUUCUAGAAGACUUACUCGCCUCUGCUAGCUCUUGGGGGCCCUGCCUCGGCUCUGAAAUCAGCCCACCAGAGGGCGAGAGCCCACGUGGAGCAGACGUGACUUAUCUUAGGAGAAGUUUCCCGAGACCAGCCAGGUCCCAGCAGACUCUGCAGACUUUGCAGAGCCUGGCAGAGAAGCCACUAGGCUGAGCUCCAUCCCAACAAAUAGCUGUGGUUUGAACCACUAAGUGUGGAGCUGGUUGGCAAUGCAGCCCAAGUGCAUCGCUCACAUCUCAGACGAUCGGGAGGAACAAAUGAGCUCGUGCACGUGAGGGUUUAGCAACUGGAGCAGCAUCCUUACUUCCUGCCCUUCUCGUUCUCAGGUCCCCUCCUUACAUCAGGGGACUCAUACCUCCCCUGGGAACCCAGGACAGAGGCAGAUGAGGCCACAUCAGCUCCUCCCUCUCAUGCCUGGGGCUGCUCCUGUCUUUUAGGGAAUUUCAGACCUUUUGUCAACUCCAGACUCUAGUAAUUGCUCAGUCCUUAAUAGCUACUUUGUUGGACUGAUUGAUUUCUCCCAACCCCCUGCCUAUUUUUCUUUCUUUCUUCUUCUUCUUCUUCUUCUUCUUCUUUUUUUUUUUUUUUGCUUUUUGGGGCCGCAUCUGUGGCAUAUGGAAGUUCCCAGGCUAGGGGUCCAGUUGGCAGCUGCCGGCCUACACCACAGCCACAGCAAUGCCAGAUCCAAGCCGUAUCUGCUACCUAUGCCGCAGCUCACAGCAACACCAGAUCGUGAACCCACUGAGCGAGGCCAGGUAUCGAACCUGCAUCCUCACGGAUACAAUGUCAAAUUCUUAACCCAGGACAGGAAUUCCUAAAUAAGCUUUCCGGAAUGAAAAUGAAAAUCUUUUCUUCCAGUCUCCAAAAAAAUGUGAUUGGUGCCUUGUGAUCUUCCCGGGGCAAAUUGGGGAAGAGCCUGAAGAGGAUCCAGAAUGCCUUUGAGGACCCAUUUGAACAGAGGUUCACAAAGGUAGGUGUAGCAGAAGGCAGAGUGGCAGAGGCCCCGGGUCCCCUUCUUCCAUGAACUUGCUCUGUGACCUUGAGCACAUUCCGUAGAGUCUCUGUGCCCUGGAUUCCCCUGUGUGCAAUGAGAGUGAUCUCUAGGCAGAGCCCUUUUCUGCUCUGCUGUCUGGAGCCCUAGGGCUACGAGCAGAUGCAAAGCCAUCCUUCCUCACCCCCGUCUGUGUCCCCUGUUCUGUGUAUUCACAGGGAGCAAAAAGGAGAGGCAGGCUCACCAGGAGAGAGUCACAGAGGGUGAUGCAUAGCCAAGGUCAUGGGCAAAUUCAUCUUGCUGGCAUUGUUGCAGUCCAAGUUAAAUAUAGCCAUCCAAGUCUUCCAUUCAGGGCUGACCAGCUGCAAAUAUUUAACACAUCCUGCAGUGGAAGGAAUGGCCACCGGUCACCAGCAGUCAUUGGCGGUGACUCUGUGAGGGAGGCCGAGGGCAAAGCUUCACGGUGUCAACACUCACAGUUGGCAUCUGUAAUGACCAAGAGAUGCCUGCAGCCCCUGCCAACUGCAUGUUUAAAGGUGACCCUCUAUUUAUUUAUGAGACAGUGGAGUCCUUUACCUCUUGAACUUUUUGAUGGGUUGAACCUGCCAAAAUAUGACUCCAGAAGCAUUUUGAGGAAGUAAUUAUUUUUCCAGAAGUACUGACACCACUGACUAAUGGAUGUUGUGUGUUUGCUCUGGGCCAGUUGUGCGUGGUUAUGUGAAUCUCUCCUUUCACUUUCGCACUGACCUUAAGAGAUGGGUCCUCGUUUGUCCUCACUUUACAGGCGAGGGAACUGAAAUUCAGAGAGAGUAAGUCAUUUGCCCACAGUCACCCAGCUACUAAGGGGGCCAUAUUGUGUUCACUCAGAGUUCAGGCUCAGGAAGCUCCCUUGUGGUGCAACAGGAUCUGGCAUUGUCACUGCAGUGGCUCAGGCUGCUGCUGUGGCGCAUGUUUGAUCCCUGGCCCAGGAAUUUCCCAUGCCAUGGGUGCAG